rnacentral:misc_RNA from 1 species
ACGAAUAACUAUGGUGUCUUGGCUGUAGCUGGCUCCUCGGAGCAAUGUGCACGCCCGCCAUUUUUAUCUUUCCACCUGUGCACCGACUGUAGGUCUGGAUACCUCUCGUCUCUUUGAGGCGGAUGCGGGGAUUGCUCGUAAGGGCUCUCCUCGAAUUUCCAGGCUCUACGUCUUUUUACACACCCCAAUAGUAUGAUGUAGAAUGUAGUCAAUGGGCUUUUCAGCCUAUAAAACACUAUA